UACAACAAAAAUGGUACUAGUACUAGGGCAAAAUUUUUGGCGAAUGGAGUGAAUGACCAAACAAACAAAAAGGGUAAGACAUCUUAAAUUAGUUGCAGCUUAGAUGAUAAUGAUGACAGUGUUCGAUGGAGUUUAAUGGCAAAGAGACUACUGUGACCAUGAAGUGCGAAAAAAAUGGUGAUUGUUCGGCUUAAUGGAAUGAAAAUAAAUAAAUUAUUGGUGUACUAAAGUUGCAAGAAAACGCUGCUGCAUAGUGCCAUGUGAAAAGAAAAUCGAGUACUAUAGAUUUUCACAAAAACAUUGCUGAAAACAAAGCGGCCAUGUUUAAUGUUUACGAACUGCAACUUCGGCAGAUGUGGUGCCUGCUGUAGCACAGCUUUGUAUCACAGCAUGCUAGGUAAGUCAAAUUGAAUAUUCAAAUUGUGAAAUCUUUGAAUAUGAUUAGUGCUAGUAAAACAUGUAUGCCAAAAGACAGCUAAAAGACACAUAGCUUAGCGUGCCUGAGGUGAGGACAUAGCGCAACAGCUGAGCAUACUGAAUCAAGUAAUAUUAAGUUGCUUAUGGGACAGUUAUGCAUAAAUAUUUUUUUAGUAAAUCUUUGGCCAGUAAACUUAAACCAGCAAUUCCAAGCUUUGUUUGCUCUGUACAUGCUAUCAUUUGGUUUUAGGCGAGCUUUUACUUCACAUGGCAUGCAACCACAAAGAUACAGGAUUCUUGUCCAUAACGUAAUAAACGUUUGCCAACACAAUUGUUCAGUAUUUUACCUUGCUGCUUAGAAACUGAAGCGUGAGACUAGUUCUUACUUGCCUACAACAGUUAACAUCUUCAAGAAAAAUUGAUAACUCCGAAUGAUCAGACUUCCAAGUCCACUUUACAUGGUAUGCUGACAGCAUAUUGCAUAGACACACUGUAUGGCAUAUGGGCACAAGAUUUCACAAUGAUUAAUCUUCAAUAAGCAUUCAGGAGAGGACAAAACCAUAAAAUUAACCAAAACCACAAAAUGAGAAAGACACAUCUGAAAGUUUUGGGAUGCUCGGAGAUCAGAACAAAAGCUGCCUUUUCUUUACCAAUGCUGUUAGCUGGGCGAGUCUGUCUGCGAGGUUGCAUAUUUUAUUUAUAGUGACCGCAAGAAAAAAUGGGGACUGAAGAAAGAAAUGAACAACAACAGUGUUCAUGACGGUGGGUUUACUUGAUAAUUUGUGCACGCAUGAUUGCACACGCACAAAGCAAAAGCUUUGCAAUAAUCUGUAAACUACAAACAAGAAAAGGUCACAGAGUAACACAGAAAGACAGGAUUGACAUUGACGUACAACUCGGAAGUCAAUGCUGGUCCUGUUUUAUAGCGAGCAGCUUUCAAGUCUUCCACCAUGUGCGUUCUACGUCCUCUUUGUGUAGCCGUGUAAAAAAUAUUGUGCCCCGCCUUUUUGAUCAAUCCAGUGCACUUCCAGUGGAAUUGCGCAGAAUGGGAACAUGUUGAAUUUCAGAUAUGCGCUGCCAGCAAAAUUCCAGACCAAAUUGUUUGUGUUCUAAGAUGUUUGAAAAUGAUGGAAAAAAAAAAGAAAAGAAAGAAAAAAAGACAACAAACACGCAUGGCAAGGCAAGGUAGCAACGGCGGUUUUAUAUCCUCCUCAGUCAUGGAUUAUGAUGGACUGUUGAUAAACAUAUCACAUUUCCAUAAUUUCAUUUCUAGACACUGAAAGAAAGUCAAGGUGACAGACUUUUCCCCCCCAUGACCAGGGGAAAAGCUGCUGGAGAAGAUGGAAUAACAGUCAAUUUAAUCAAAGUAGGAGAAGAUAUCAUGCUUGAAAAGCUUGCGGCCCUUUAUACGCCAUGCCUCACAACUUCAAGUGUACCAGAGAGCUGGAAGAAUGCCAACAUUAUACUCAUCCAUAAGAAGGGAGACGUUAAUAGACCCAUUAGCUUGCUUUCAGUAUUGUAUGAAAUAUUCACCAAGAUAAUUUCCACUAGAAUCAGGGCAACACUUGAGCUAACCA